AUACGUAGGGUGCGAGCGUUGUCCGGAAUUACUGGGCGUAAAGAGCUCGUAGGUGGUUUGUCGCGUCGUCUGUGAAAUUCCGGGGCUUAACUCCGGGCGUGCAGGCGAUACGGGCAUAACUUGAGUACUGUAGGGGAGACUGGAAUUCCUGGUGUAGCGGUGAAAUGCGCAGAUAUCAGGAGGAACACCGGUGGCGAAGGCGGGUCUCUGGGCAGUAACGGACGCUGAGGAGCGAAAGAAUGGGUAGCGAACAGGAUUAGAUACCCUGGUAGUCCAUGCCGUAAACGGUGGGCGCUAGGUGUAGGGGUCUUCCACGACUUCUGUGCCGUAGCUAACGCAUUAAGCGCCCCGCCUGGGGAGUACGGCCGCAAGGCUAAAACUCAAAGGAAUUGACGGGG
rnacentral:rRNA from 1 species